UCAAGGUGUUUACAAUAGAUGUCUCUCUUUCUGGAAGUCUCCUCCCCUGAGCUACAGGAGUGUAUUGUCCCUGCAUCCCCCUGGUGUUAUGGACAGAAGAGAACCAUCUUCUUAAGUGGGAAACCUUGCCUCUGCAUGGGAUCCUGGCACAGAAAGACAGUGUGCUGAUUCUCCGUUCAACACCAUGUUUUUUUAUGAUCAGGACUGACUUUUAAACAUUCAUGUUGGAUCAGAAAGAAACCCAGAUCAGGGGGAAGAGGAAUCAGUAAUGGCUAUUGCUCAGGGACAAUUGACAUUUAGAGAUGUGGCCAUAGAGUUCUCUCAGGAGGAGUGGCAGUGCCUGGACUCUGCUCAGAGAGCUUUGUACAGGGCCGUGAUGUUGGAGAACUACAGGAACCUGGUCUCCCUGGGACUCUUGCUUCCUGACCUGACUGUUCUCUC